rnacentral:rRNA from 1 species
UCGGGAAUUUUGGGCAAUGGGCGAAAGCCUGACCCAGCAACGCCGCGUGAAGGAUGAAGUAUUUCGGUAUGUAAACUUCGAAAGAAUGGGAAGAAUAAAUGACGGUACCAUUUAUAAGGUCCGGCUAACUACGUGCCAGCAGCCGCGGUAAUACGUAGGGACCAAGCGUUGUUCGGAUUUACUGGGCGUAAAGGGCGCGUAGGCGGCGUGUCAAGUCAGCUGUGAAAUCUUGAGGCUUAACCUCAAGCGGUCAGCUGAUACUGAUGUGCUAGAGUGCAGAAAGGGCAAUCGGAAUUCUUGGUGUAGCGGUGAAAUGCGUAGAUAUCAAGAGGAACACCUGAGGCGAAGGCGGGUUGCUAGGCUGACACUGACGCUGAGGCGCGAAAGCCAGGGGGAGCAAACGGGGACUAGAUACCCCGGUAGUCCUGGCCCUAAACGAUGAAUACUUGGUGUCUGGAGUUAUUAUUGCUCCGGGUGCCGU